rnacentral:RNase_P_RNA from 1 species
GAAGUAAGUUAAAUAGUCGCAUGUAUGAACUGCAAAGUUGUACAUGAGGAAAGUCCGGGCUCCACAGAGCAAUAAUGCUGGAUAACGUCCAGUGAGGGAAACCUUAAGGAAAGUGCAACAGAAAAUAACCGCCAAUUUUUUGGUAAGGGUGAAAAGGUGAGGUAAGAGCUUACCGGCAACAUGGAGACAUGUUGCGUCAGUGUAAACCCCAUUUGGAGCAACACCUUAAAAAGAAGGCUAAGGCUGCUCGCCGUCUUCUACCUAGGUGGCUUGAGACAUAUAGCAAUGUAUGUUCUAGAUAAAUGACUAUUCUAGACAGAACCCGGCUUAUCGAUUUGCUUUAUUA